rnacentral:rRNA from 1 species
AGUGAACGCUGGCGGCAGGCCUAACACAUGCAAGUCGAACGGCAGCACAGUAAGAGCUUGCUCUUACGGGUGGCGAGUGGCGGACGGGUGAGGAAUACAUCGGAAUCUACUUUUUCGUGGGGGAUAACGUAGGGAAACUUACGCUAAUACCGCAUACGACCUACGGGUGAAAGCAGGGGAUCUUCGGACCUUGCGCGAUUGAAUGAGCCGAUGGCGGAUUAGCUAGUUGGCUGGGUAAAGGCCCACCAAGGCGACGAUCCGUAGCUGGUCUGAGAGGAUGAUCAGCCACACUGGAACUGAGACACGGUCCAGACUCCUACGGGAGGCAGCAGUGGGGAAUAUUGGACAAUGGGCGCAAGCCUGAUCCAGCCAUACCGCGUGGGUGAAGAAGGCCUUCGGGUUGUAAAGCCCUUUUGUUGGGAAAGAAAAGCAGCAGGUUAAUACCCCGCUGUUCUGACGGUACCCAAAGAAUAAGCACCGGCUAACUUCGUG